rnacentral:rRNA from 1 species
CUACGUGCCAGCAGCCGCGGUAAUACAGAGGGUGCAAGCGUUAAUCGGAAUUACUGGGCGUAAAGCGAGCGUAGGUGGUCAUUUAAGUCAGAUGUGAAAUCCCCGGGCUUAACCUGGGAACUGCAUCUGAUACUGAGUGACUAGAGUAGGUGAGAGGGAAGUAGAAUUCCAGGUGUAGCGGUGAAAUGCGUAGAGAUCUGGAGGAAUACCGAUGGCGAAGGCAGCUUCCUGGCAUCAUACUGACACUGAGGUUCGAAAGCGUGGGUAGCAAACAGGAUUAGAUACCCUGGUAGUCCACGCCGUAAACGAUGUCUACCAGUCGUUGGGUCUCUUGAAGACUUAGUGACGCAGUUAACGCGAUAAGUAGACCGCCUGGGGAGUACGGCCGCAAGGUUAAAACUCAAAUGAAUUGACGGGGGCCCGCACAAGCGGUGGAGCAUGUGGUUUAAUUCGAUGCAACGCGAAGAACCUUACCUGG